rnacentral:rRNA from 1 species
UUCCGGUUGAUCCCGCCGGACCCCACUGCUAUCGGGAUAGGACUAAGACAUGCUAGUCGUGUGCCUCAGCCAAAACGAGGCACGGCGCACAGCUCAGUAACACGUGGCUAACCUGCCCUUAGGACGAGAAUAACCCCGGGAAACUGGGGCUAAUGCUCGAUGGGUGAAGAACUCUGGAAUGAGUCUUCACUUAAAAGAGUCUGCGUUAUGCUCGUAGAUUUCGCUUAAGGAUGGGGCCGCGACCGAUCAGGUUGUUGGUGAGGUAACGGCUCACCAAGCCUUUUACCGGUGCGGGCCGUGGGAGCGGGAGCCCGGAGAUGGGUACUGAGACAAGGACCCAGGCCCUACGGGGCGCAGCAGUCGCGAAACCUUUGCAAUACACGCAAGUGUGACAGGGCUAUCCCGAGUGCCAUCCGCUGAGGAAGGCUUUUACCCAGUAUAGAAAGCUGGGGGAAUAAGGAGAGGGCAAGUCUGGUGUCAGCCGCCGCGGUAAUACCAGCUCUCCGAGUGGUGUGGAUGUUUAUUGGGCCUAAAGCAUCCGUAGCUGGCUAAGUUAGUCCUUUGUUUAAUCCACCGAAUUAAUCGUUGGGUUGCGAGGGAUACUGCUUGGCUAGGGGACGAGAGAGGCAGACGGUAUUUUCGGGGUAGGGGUGAAAUCCUAUAAUCCCGGGAAGACCACCAGUGGCGAAGGCUGUCUGCUAGAACGCGCCCGACGGUGAGGGAUGAAAGCUGGGGUAGCGAACCGGAUUAGAUACCCGGGUAGUCCCAGCUGUAAACGAUGCAGCUAGGUGUUUGGACGGCCACGUGCCGUUCUAGUGCCGCAGGGAAGCUGUUAAGCCUGCCGCCUGGGGAGUACGAUCGCAGAUUGAAACUUAAAGGAGUUGGCGGGGGAGCACCACAGGGGUGAAGCUUGCCGGUUAAUUGGAUCAACGCCGGG